rnacentral:tRNA from 1 species
GGCCAGGUGGUGGAACCGGUAGACACGCAGGUCUCAAAAACCUGUGAGGCCUUAAACCUCGUGGGAGUUCGAGUCUCCCCCUGGCCA